ensembl:lncRNA
UGGAUAGGACCAAUGACAUUCCAACCGGGCAUCUGCAGGUGUUCACCUGGUGAUCUUUAGAUGUCAGAGGACUGAAAAGUCCAUAACCCACAUCAUGCUAAGCACCUCCAUGUUUGAAUGUACAGAGGCCUGUAGUUAGUUACAUCUGUGCAGAACCAUGAUUUGUGUACUUUUCCCAAUCAUGUUCCCCCAUAUCCCCAUGCUUCCCACAUGCCCCAUGCCUCAGACCACCUUGCUUCCCUAUUUGUUAUACCAUAAAUAACCCCAGACUCUUGACUUCAGAAGGCAGAACUGAGUUUUGUUUCUUCUCUUUUGGUCUGCCUUGUCAAUAAGCCCUCUCUUUGCUGCAGGGCUUGGUGUCUCAGCAUUUUGGCCCCUGAUGGUCAGGCAAAACAAACUUUGUUUGGUUACAAAGCAUUUUUACCAAUUUUCCUUAGAAAAUGGAUCAAGAAAUUUCUUCUUGGCUCUCCUUUUGCCACUUUUGUGGACUGUGGGUUUUUUUCUUCCUAAGCCUCAAAUCCUUUUAGAACUGAAGAUCUCAGCUGGUCCCAAGUGAAUCUCCAUUUGUGUUCCCUCUUCAAUAAAGUCUUCUUCUCAACACAGAGGAGGAUGUGAAAGCCACGGCUCCUGAAGGCACUGUCCCUGCUAUUUGAAAGACCAAGACAUAUAUACACACGUAUGUCCUGUGUGUGGAUAACUUACAACAAAGUAUUCUGAUCCUGAAUGUAUGUACAGUAGAAUGUUAACUCCUUCUAGGCAUAGAAGUAGCACCAUAUGUCCCUGUAGUAGGAAUGUGUCCCAAUCCUAGAAUGAUGGGGUUGUAUUUGGUAUGUGACUCUAAAGUCAAACUUACUAUUGAAAUGUAUAACUGAUCUACAAAGAUAUUUAUAAGCCUCCCUCCCCUCUAUUUUAAUAAAGUGAAUGAAGGAUAAUUCCAGACAUUUUAUGUUUUUUAAAAAAAAUCUUUGAAACAUUUAUAUAGUGUUUCUUAUGUAACAAGCAUUAUGCAACAAACAUUGCUCUACAUCUUUUUACAGAUAAUAAUUUAAUUCCCUGUGAGCAGGAUACAACUAUCACUCCCUUUUAUACAUAAGAAAAUGAGGAACAGAGAUUAGAUU